rnacentral:rRNA from 1 species
ACGAAGGGGGCUAGCGUUGUUCGGAUUUACUGGGCGUAAAGCGCACGUAGGCGGAUUGUUAAGUCAGGGGUGAAAUCCUGGAGCUCAACUCCAGAACUGCCUUUGAUACUGGCAUUCUAGAGUCCGGAAGAGGUGAGUGGAACUCCUAGUGUAGAGGUGGAAUUCGUAGAUAUUAGGAAGAACACCAGUGGCGAAGGCGACUUACUGGACGACUGUUGACGCUGAGGUGCGAAAGCGUGGGGAGCAAACAGGA